CUGCACUAGCCUCGAUCCCAGGCCGAGUUUUCGCUUUUAUAACGGUUAGGCGAACAACUGGGCCUGGUACUAGUUGUCUGCGCAUGCGUCAAUCGUUCGUCAGAUUCUGACGAAUGGAUAUUCUCGUUCACUUUCGUGACAUUUAUAUUCGUGUACUAUCGUGUACUAGAAGUCAGUUCCCGUUUUAUCAUUAAUUGGAAUGGCUCUUAGCUGAAGCUUCUCUCUUCUCUGAAGCUUAUUCUGAAGACUGAACAACAAGGGAAGAGGUAUAAAGCUUUGUCAAGCUUGUUAAGGUCAGAUAUUUUUGUGUGGGCCCUAUGGCCGGCUAUGCUAUCAAGUCUUGUUCAUGUUUGGCAAGAAUGUAGGUAGACUAUAAUUUCAUCAUUAAUAUGGUGGAUCAAGUGAAGAGUGUGAGCUAGAGAACUUGGUGCUGCCAUCAUCAGCUCGUCGACAAUGACACUAUAACCGAGAAAUUUAAUAUGUAUAGAUCUACACGUAUUUAAAAUGUCUACUUCUCUGUACAGGAGCAAUGGCUAAUAUCCAGCUAUCCCAACAGUGCUCCUCUUGGCUAUACUAACGGACGAGACUGGACAGUUUGAGACACAGGACUGGAGUAUGACCUGCUCAUUCGAGCGUUGCUGGGUAGCUCAGAGACAUCAAGAGAAUCUACGUUUUCUCAAGCAAUGAGUUACGAGUUGGGGCCUAGAAUCAGAGAAGUCCAGCAGCCUGCUAAAUCUUUUUGAAACGUAAUUUGAAGGCAUUCAAUCAUCCUGAAGUUUCCCUGGGUCACUGUAAUUGUGCUGCAGCACAACUGGCAACUCCCCAGGCCUUUGUGAAGCAGCUCCCUAUGUGCAUCUUUUGUGUACUCACUCUGUGCAUUUUCUGUGUACAAAUUUCUAUUAUUGAUUUAUUAAAUAUUUUUGCCGACCACAAA